CGGGCGAGGCGCCGGUCUAAGUCCCUUGGAACGGGGCGUCAUAGAGGGUGAGAAUCCCGUACGUGACCGGUGACCGAGUCCAUGUGAAGCUCCUUCGACGAGUCGAGUUGUUUGGGAAUGCAGCUCAAAAUGGGUGGUAAAUUUCAUCUAAAGCUAAAUACCGGCCAGAGACCGAUAGCGCACAAGUAGAGUGAUCGAAAGAUGAAAAGCACUUUGGAAAGAGAGUCAAAAAGUACGUGAAAUUGUUGAAAGGGAAGCGCUUGCAACCAGACCUGCCCGCGGGUGAUCAACCGUCCUUCUGGGCGGUGCACUUGCCCGUGAUCAGGCCAGCAUCGGUUCGGGCGGCCGGAUAAAGGCCUUGGGAACGUAGCUCCUCUUGGGGAGUGUUAUAGCCCUCGGUGUAAUGCGGCCAGCCUGGACCGAGGACCGCGCUUCGGCUAGGAUGCUGGCGUAAUGGUUGUAAGCGGCCCGUCUUGAAACACGGACCAAGGAGUCUAACAUUUAUGCGAGUGUUUGGGUGUCAAACCCAUACGCGUAAUGAAAGUGAACGGAGGUGGGAACCCUUUACGGGGCGCACCAUCGACCGAUCCAGAUGUCUUCGGAUGGAUUUGAGUACGAGCAUAACUGUUGGGACCCGAAAGAUGGUGAACUAUGCCUGAAUAGGGUGAAGCCAGAGGAAACUCUGGUGGAGGCUCGCAGCGGUUCUGACGUGCAAAUCGAUCGUCAAAUUUGGGCAUAGGGGCGAAAGACUAAUCGAACCAUC
rnacentral:rRNA from 1 species